GCUCUAUGGGGUCAGGGUGGGGGUCCCUAAACCCGUAGGGCUCCCUGUUGUCAGUCUCGGGGUCCUGGGCUCUAUAGGGUUCAGGAGGAUCAUUAUGGGGGUCCAGGGCUCUAUGGGUAUCUAUGGGGUUGCUCUGGGGGUCUCCAAACCUAUAGGGGUCUGCAGCCUCCACCUGGGGGUCCUCAUUCCCAUAGGGCUCAGCCCCAUACGAGUCCUCAGCCCCAUAGGGGUCCCCGUGGGGGUCCCACUGCCCUCCCAAGGCUUCAGUCUCCCCCUCGGCCUGAGAUUCCCCCCCCUCAUAGGGGUCCUCAGCCCCAUAGGGGUCCUCAGCCCCAUAGGGGUCUGCAGCUGAGUCCCCAUAGGACACCCAGGGCCGGGUCUGGGGGUCCCUCCCCCUGCGGAGGCUGCCGGGCUCGGGGUCCUCUGCCCCAUAGGGACCCGAGUGGGGCACGUAGGACCCCCAGGGCUCCCUAUGGGGCUCCUCGUCCCUAUAGGGGUCUGUAUAUGGGUCCCCAUAGGUGUCCGGCUCCCAGGGCUCCACGUCAGACCCCGCAGCCCCAUAGCGGGGGGGAGACUCCCCAUAGGCGUCCCCAUAAGCAUCGGGGUCCCCAUAGGGGUCCAUAUAGGGGUCCCCAUAGGGGCUGGGGUCCCACCCUUCGGGGUCUCCGUUGCUAUAGGGGCCGGUGGGGGGGGGCGGGGGGGGAGGGUGCGAACCCGCGUGUGAAUCCUCGUGUGAAUCCUCGUGUGAAUCCUCGUGUGAAUCCUCGUGCGAAUCCUCGUGCAAAGCCCUAAUGCCCGAAUCCCAAUGAUGAGGGUUGGGGUCCCAGCUCAAAUCCCAUUGGCUCCCAUUGGGGUCCUGGUUGGGGUCCUGGUUGGGGUCCCAUUGGCUCCCAUUGGGGUCCCGGUUAGGGUCCCAUUGGCUUCCAUUGGGGUCCUGGUUGGGGUCCCAUUGGCUCCCAUUGGGGUCCUGGUUGGGGUCCUGGUUGGGGUCCCAUUGGCUCCCAUUGGGGUCCUGGUUGGGGUCCCAUUGGCUCCCAUUGGGGUCCUGGUUGGGGUCCCAUUGGCUUCUAUUGGGGUCUUGGUUGGGGUCCCAUUGGCUCCCAUUGGGGUCCCGGUUGGGGUCCCAUUGGUUCCGGUUGGGAUCCCGGUUGGGAUCGUGGUGAUGUGGGCUGGAAUCCGGGUCGGGCUCCCAUUGGCUCCCAUUGGGGUCCCAGUUGGGGUCCUGGUCGGGGUCCCAUUGGCUCCCAUUGGGGUUUGGAUGAGCUCGGCUGGGAUCCCACUUUGGGUCCUGCUGGUUCCGGUUGGGAUCCCAAUGAGCUCGGAUGGGGUCCUGGUUCGGAUCCCAUUGGCUCCGGUUGGGAUCAUGGUGGUUCCGGAUGGGGUCCUGGUUGGGGUCCCAGUUUGGAUCCUGGUGGUUCUGGUAGGGGUCCCGGUUUGGAUCCCAUCGGUUCCGGUUGGGGUCCUGGUGGUUCUGGUUGGGAUCCCAGUUUGGGUCCCAUUGGCUCCGGUUGGGGUCCCGGUUCUGAUCCUGGUUUGGAUCCCAUUGGUUCCGGUUCGUGUCCCAGUUUGGAUCCCGGUGGUCCUGGUUCGGAUCCCGGUUCAGAUCCCGGUUCUGAUCCCAGUUCUGAUCCCGGUUCGGAUCCCAUUGGCUCUGGUUCGUGUCCCAGUUUGGAUCCCGGUGGUUCCGGUUCUGAUCCCAGUUCUGAUUCCGGUUCGGAUUCCAUCGGUUCUGGUUUGGAUCCCAGUUUGGAUCCCGGUUCGGAUCCCAUUGGCUCCGGUUGGGGUCCCAGUUUGGAUCCUGGUGGUUCCGGUUCUGAUCCCGGUUCUGAUCCCGGUUCUGAUCCCGGUUCGGGUCCCAUCGGUUCCGGUUCUGAUCCCGGUUCGGGUCCCAUCGGUUCCGGUUCGGGUCCCAUCGGUUCCGCUCGUGCUGACGGUGCCCCCUGCUGGAAUCCCGGCCGGGCUGUGGCUGCCUGUGCUGCGGCCGGCGCCGCCGCUGCUCCCGUUGUUCCCGUUGUUCCCAUUGAUCCCAUUGAUCCCAUUGAUCCCAUUGAUGGUCCCGGUGGUCCCGGUUCGGCCGCCGGUUCGGUUGGCACGUGGCCCCGUCGGGCUGCAGGACGAAGCCCCGCCGGCAGUGACAGGCGAAUCCCCCGUGGUGGUUCAGACACAUGUGCUGACACACGGCGGCCGUUCGACACUCGUCGCGAUCCCCGCAGCGACCGGGGGCGCCCGGAACCGGCCCGAAACCCAACGGGCACCGCGGGACCGGAGACAACGGAGACACCGGAGACACCAAUAGGGACAACAGCAACAGCAGCGUCCGCUGGGCACGGCGGGGUCCCGGUUCGGGUCCCAUUGAUCCCGGUCGGGGUCCCGGUUCGGAUCCCAUUGAUCCCGGUCGGGGUCCCGGUUCGGGUCCCAUUGAUCCCGGUCGGGGUCCCGGUUCGGAUCCCAUUGAUCCCGGUCGGGGUCCCGGUUUGGAUCCCGUUGGUCCCGGUCGGGGUCCCGGUUCGGAUCCCAUUGAUCCCGGUCGGGGUCCCGGUUUGGAUCCCGUUGGUNGUCGGGGUCCCGGUUUGGAUCCCGUUGGUCCCGGUCGGGGUCCCGGUUCGGAUCCCAUUGAUCCCGGUCGGGGUCCCGGUUUGGAUCCCGUUGGUUCCGGUUGGGGUCCCGGUUCGGAUCCCGGUGGUCCCGGUUCGGAUCCCGUUGAUCCCGGUCGGGGUCCCGGUUUGGAUCCCGUUGGUUCCGGUCGGGGUCCCGGUUCGGAUCCCAUUGAUCCCGGUCGGGGUCCCGGUUCGGAUCCUGUUGGUCCCGGUUGUGGUCCCGGUUCGGAUCCCGUUGAUCCCGGUCGGGGUCCUGGUUUGGAUCCCGUUGGUCCCGGUUCGGGUCCCGUUGGUCGGAUCCGCUGCUCGAACGAACCGACGGGUCCCGGGACUGAGAGAUGGGAACCGCCCCGAAGAGACGGGACGGGAACAGAGGGAGACCGCGCCCUGCCGAGGAACGGGGGGGGACGGGGAAAAGGGGACGGGGGGGAGGGAGGGGAAUG
ensembl:lncRNA